rnacentral:rRNA from 1 species
UACAGAGGGUGCGAGCGUUAAUCGGAAUUACUGGGCGUAAAGCGUGCGUAGACGGUAGCGUAAGUCAGAUGUGAAAGCCCCGGGCUCAACCUGGGAAUUGCAUUUGAGACUGCUCUGCUCGGGUGCGGAAGAGGGAAGCGGAAUUUCCGGUGUAGCGGUGAAAUGCGUAGAUAUCGGAAGGAACACCAGUGGCGAAAGCGGCUUCCUGGUCCGACACUGACGCUGAGGCACGAAAGCGUGGGGAGCAAACAGG